AACAUCUGGAGGGCCCCCAGAUGUUCCAACUGGCAGUAGAUCACCAUGGUCUCAAGCAGAGGUUUCCCCCCAGCUCUGCUUCUGACAAGCUGCACACCUCUGAUGAUUCUCUGUGUUAGCCAAAUCAUGCUCAACCAAAAUAAGGAAUUGUUCUCUUUCACACCUGCCCCUGUCAUUUUAGCACUUUUAAGACCUUCUGCAUGGAAGGCAUAUGCAACACCACUGAGUUCUGACAUUACACCCAUAAGAGUCAGUCUAUACCCAGUAGAUUAUUAAUUACCUGUCAGAGGUCUGGGUGGAAUAGGCUUGAGUUAUUUGAUACCGAUUUCCUUCCAUGGGGUUGGGAAUGACAAAGCCAUUUUAAACACUGCUGCUUUUAUGAGGCAAGAAUGUGAUGUUCUGAGCAAACAUUAAUGAACAGGUAGAGGACCUCAAGUACCAACAGCUGAGAUGGAUGGUCGCUAUUGAAAUAUGGAAGUGUUGGUCUACGUCUGUCUCCAUUGCUUCUUCCUAUAUCAGUCAGAAAUGCUUCUGAGCUGCUUCAGCAUUCAGUUUAAUUAAAAAACAACAACCAAACUUCAGCUCCCCGGAGGUGUUUUCAUCAGUGCCUAGUCACACAACAUUUGGCUGUAGUGUUGACCACCCCCCACCCCCCCACCCCCAGUUCCCUAACAGCUUGGUUGUUUUGUGUUUUCUGUGCUGAGAUGCUGUUGUUUUCCUGACAUGGAGGGCAAAGAACUAAAGUCAGGCAAGCUUAGCUCACUGUUUGGUUCUCGGUUGCUGGAGCGGCACUGGCAACAAACAAUUCUCUUUUUCAUCCUGUAGGAAGGACUUCUUGCAGCUCACACUUGAAAACAGUUGAAAGAGAAAAUGCGCCCACUUCUGAGCGCAAAGUGCUCAGAAAUUGUUGUUGUGCUAGUACCUGGUUUGCAUGAAUUCGGUUUCCGCGUAAGACAGUGUUGUUUGCACAAUACACUUCCUUGGCAAUUGGACCAAUUUCGUAUGGGUUCCAUCCGUGCCAUCAAUGCGCGUUUACUCAGAAAUAAGCCUCACUGUGCUCCAGGAAGCUCUCUGCCAACUCAGUGUGCAUAUAAUUGCAGCUCCUAAACUGCUUAGAAACCAUUUUGGCAAGUAAGCAGCAUAUAAUUGUAGUAGUAAUAGUAGCAGCAGAAGCAAUAUAGAAUGCUGUAAAGGGUAAACCUACAUGUUACCUUAAAUGUAUAACCAGUUCCACCACAUUUAUCAACCCUGCAUCCCAGUAGCAUUCAUACAAUCAUAAUGGCUACAAUCCUGGAGGAGGGUAAACCAUAAUUUCCUGUCAGUUGCAUAUCCCCCCUGUCUUUCAUAAUUAUUUCAUUCAUAUUUAGUUACUUUGGAAGUGAUUCAUUCCUUUUUAGGAACCCCCCCCCCCCGGAAAUCAGUGGAGUUUUUUUCAGCAGGAGACCCACCCUGCCUUCUAUAAUGUUGGCAUUUCAAAUAUGAAUGACACGGGUUCUAGACAGUAGGGGCACCAUACUUUUCAAAUAUAAGGAAGAUUGGUAAUGGCAUCUCCACCAAAAAGUAAUUAAAAUGGGGUGAUAAAACCAGGGGCGUCUUACCCAUAGAGGCUAGUGGUGCAGGACGCCGGGGGCCAAGUUCUGGAGGGCGCCAGGGAAGAGGCAGAGGCUGGAUGUAGCGCCUUCCGGCAUCAGCUCGCCGCCCUCACCUGCCUCCGCCAUGCCCUCGCUGGAGCCUCCGUCUGCCGUGGCCACCGUGGCAUAAAGCGGCCAACUGAGCUGGAAGGCACCGCAACCAGCCGCUGCCUCUUCCCCACCGGAGGAGCCGCCCUCCAGCUUCUGCCCACCUCCUCCAGCCCCGCCAGCAGCUCUGUCCUCCCUAAAAAAACUCUGGGAAAUGGGGGGGGGGGGACGCCAGAAGGAGCUUUGCACCACAGUGCCGGAUAUGCUUAAGACGGCCCUGGAUAUAACUUCACAUUACAUUCAGUGGCAAAUGAAGCUGAAUUUGCCACCUGUAUUUCUGGUGUUCCGCACCCACACAGCAAGACAUUUGUACGUGUUGCAAUUUAAUGGAUGCUCCACAAGAGCAUCACAUUUUCUAAGUUUCAAAAAGAUUGGGCAAAAGGGUGCCGAGAGAAAAUAAUAAUAAUAAUGCCAUUUGAAUUUAUCUGAACUGAGCUUCUGGGUCAAAGUUUCAAUGGUUUAAUUAGUCUGCUUAUAAUAUUUCAAACUAUGAAAUUCAAGCAAAAAUAAUUCCAAAUUAAAAUAAAUACAAAAAAGUAAUAAAAAAAGAAUAAGUUUUUAACUUGGUUAAUUCAGUUAAAUGAGUUAAUUAGUUAAUUCAGAUGAAUUUAAAUUCACAUUUAAGAAACCUGAAUUAAGAAAUAUUAAUGUGUCACUUUCAUAUUGCACUUUGGGUUAAGAGAAUGUGCAUCCCUAGUGGAAACUGUGUAUUAAAUAAAAGUAGAACACAGCUAGAUUGAGCUCUGUGUGGAAAACAAUGGGUUAGCCCUUUGAAACCAAUAGAUUUACGUUCACUGAUUUCAGUGGAUCGACUGUUCUCAUGACUUAUUUUUUUAAUUAUACACAUUUUUACCGCUUAAUAUAAAAAUAUCUAAGCAGUUUACAGAAAAGCAACAAAAAGAGUAACAUAUCCUUUAAAAUAAUUAAAAACAGAACAAAACAAUAUAUCACAGAUAAAACUGAGCAGCGUACAAAACAAAAUUAAAAAUUAAGAGUCAGAGGCCAUGAAAGCUUGGGUAGAUUUUUUUAAUUAUUUUUAAAAAAUAUUUUAUUAAGGAUUUUCUUGUUUUACAGAAGUGUAGUGCCUCGUAUUUUUUUUUUCAUGUAACAUUUUUACAAAUCCGUUUCAUUUGUUGAGGCAUUAGGGG